GGGUUGUAGCUGCCUCUCUCGGGAGCAUGUGCACGCUUGUCACCUUUAUCUUUCCACCUGUGCACCCUUUGUAGACUUGGAAUUUAAACUAUCUGAAGGUUUUUAAAACCUUCAGUUUGAGGGAUUGCUCGGUCGGCUUCCCUUGUGGUUCCAAGCCUAUGUUUUUCAUAUACCCCAUAGUAUGUUUCAGAAUGUAUUCAAAGGCCUCAGAGCCUAUAACUUUAUACAACUUUCAGCAACGGAUCUCUUGGCUCUCGCAUCGAUGAAGAACGCAGCGAAAUGCGAUAAGUAAUGUGAAUUGCAGAAUUCAGUGAAUCAUCGAAUCUUUGAACGCACCUUGCGCUCCUUGGUAUUCAGAGGAGCAUGCCUGUUUGAGUGUCAUUAAAUUCUCAACCUUAUCAUCUUCGAUGGCAAGGCUUGGACUUGGGGGUUUUUGCAGGCUUCAAACUUUUUUGAAGUCGGCUCCCCUUAAAUGAAUUAGCCGGAAAACCCUUGUGGACCGUCUAUUGGUGUGAUAAUUAUCUACGCCGCCGGACAGGACUGCACUUUUUAAUGGGAUUUCUGCUUCCAAUCGUCCUUAGGGGACAAUCAUUUGACUAUUUGGCCUCAAAUCAGGUAGGACUACCCGCUGAACUUAA
rnacentral:rRNA from 1 species